rnacentral:rRNA from 1 species
GAUGAACGCUAGCGGCAGGCCUAACACAUGCAAGUCGAGGGAUGAGCCUUCGUUCUUCGACCGGCGUACGGGUUCGUAACGCUUAUACAAUCUUCCUUUCACAUAGGGUUAUCCCGAAGAAAUUUGUAUUAAUACCUAAUGGUAUAUAGAUUUUUCAUCACCUUUAUAUUAAAGCUGAGUCGUUUAAAUAUGAGUAUGCGUUCUAUUAGCUAGUUGGUUAUGUAACGGCUCCCCAAGGCGACGAUAGAUAUGGGUUCUGAGAGGGAUAUCCCCCACACUGGUAAUGAGAUAAGGAGCAGAAUACUACGGGAGGAAGCAGAGAGGAAGAGUGGAAAAUGGUAGGAAGAAUGAUAAAGCCAUGCCGGGUGAAGGAAGAAGGGGUUAUGGGUUGUAAACUGGUUUUGAAGGGGAAGAAUAAGGAAUAAGCGUAGUUUGAUGACGGUAAUCUGAGAAUAAGCAUCGGCUAACUACGUG